AUGCACUGCUGUCAGAAACAUCCAAUCAUCCAAUGACAGUCUGUCUGUUUCCAUUCAGUCAAAUUUUCUCUAUUAACAGCUGCUUUAUCAGCUGUGAUCCGCUCCUGUUCUCAGUGUAGCCGUGGAUGUUCAGACAACUGUCACUGGGUCAAUGUGAUACUGAAGGAAACUUAAAAACAGGAAGAUUCUGAAUGAAGUUCUGCAGCCUCUUUUUCCUCUUGUUCCUAAAUGGAUUUCUGGAGAUUUAUUCUGGAGGGACAUCAGAGAUAAUAAUGUCCUCGGGAAGUGGACGUCACACUGAAUCAUAUCAACAUGUGUUUCAUGUUUGUGAGUUCAGAGAAGGACUCAGGACUGAGAAGAGUUACAUGUCUGCCUUCCUGACUUCUAGGGAACGGAGGUGUAGGCUGCUGCAUGGAUGGAGGUAAACUGUCUCCUCUGUUGAUGCCGACAGCAUCCACACUGAAACUCAUCGUCCUCCGACCACGACCACGACCCGCCAUCACUGCUGCUCCUCAGACCAGAUCACACCAGGACAGACUGGAUCUGCAGCUGGUUGGAGAUAAACCAGUUUCAUCUCCACAUCAGAGGGACACAGAAUUAUCUCCUCGCCUGGGCAUCCUCUAACAAUAAAAAAUCUUUGUUUACUUCCA